CAGGCAUCGACUCCUGAGUUGGGAAAACGGGUACUCUCCUCUGUUGACACAACAUCUGGGACCAUCAGCAGCAUCUGCUCCACGGGGAGCUCAAGCCAGGUCAGCCAAGGCACAGAUGUGCGUGCACACCGAACGGCUGCCGAAGGAGAGCAGAACAAACACCAUCUGCAAUUCAAGUGCAUUUAGACCCCAGAUGAGACUGUCUUGUAACUGCUUGCCUGCUAUUCUGUAGCCUUGGUUAAGGACGAAAAUUAUCCCUCCAGUCCCGACGUUUGCCAGUGACUACUGAAGACCUGACUCUAAUCUCUCCCUAACGCAAACGACAGCCCUCCUCAAGGCAGUGGAGGCACAGACUGACAUCAAACCAGUGAAAUGACACCAAAUCAGGCUGGAUUGGAAAAGGAGCUGCUGGAGCAGGCCAUCACAUACUCCUCAUCUCACUUGCUACAAUAAAGCAUUCAAAUCUUA